ACGGUCAUGCCCUUGCAGCUAAACAGUUCUCUCUUUCAGUAAGUCACAUGACAGAUGUUAGCUGUUAACCCAAUUUAAAGUAUUUUUGUUUCUUUUCCAGUACAUUCUGAUCAGCAGCAUGAACCACAAAUAGUGCUCAGCAAUUGGCAAGUGACAGAUGCCCGAAUACCACAAUUUUCAUCUCCUUUCAGUAUCCUUGACUCAUGCAUCCUGUCUGAGCUAAUGUUAGUUUCCUGAUUGCAGUGUGUCUGCACCCUUGGACUCUCAGCAAGGGCUUGAGCCAUCCCAGGAAGCUCACUCUUCCUUUCUAGACUUCCACUGUACUUUUAGUGACUAUCUCUCAAAGCCACCUUGUUGUGCCAAGUCAGAUCUGGACUCUGGAUUUAUGCUGCUAUAGAAGUCUACUGUUUUUCCUCUAAUUUUAAAAUAACUCUAGACCGUCACAUAAAAAUAACAUUCAAUUCUGACUUUAUUUGACCUCUAAGAAGAAAAUAAGCUAACACCACCACCAGUUAGACUACCAUUAUUACAACAUUGCAUUCUUCUGUUUGAACAAAAUGCCCCCAAAACAGAUUUGAAACAGAAUAGACACGUUCCUUCUUAGUGAGGCACUCACAGCUUUAUUUCCAUGUUACUCUGAAAUUCUCCUCUCCAAACUACUGACUGCCAUGUUCUAUAUACUGUAGCAGUGAUUUUACAUUGCUUAAGAUCAUCUAUAUUUCUGCAAGUAUAAAGAUGAAGUGCAGUGAGGCUUAGUCCAAGGUGACUGAGCUGAGCUUUGAAAGUAAAAGGAUGUCUGUAGAACAGAAGGAAAAAAAAUGAAGGGAAAAAAACAACCCAACUCUCAAACAAACAAAAGAAAAAACACCAAAAAGGAAAAUGGUAGAUUUAUUUUUAGCUCUAAUUCAGGAAUAUCAGCUAGGAACAGAAAGAGAAGAACAGAAUUGCAAGGUAGAAAAUUUUCAUGAGCAAGUAAUCUAACUGUAUGUUGCGUACAGAUCGAUAAUUCUGUUGCAAAUUCAUUAAUUGCAUUAACUAGGGAUGCAAAACAAUUGUCUUUUUCCUCCUUUUAAGCCACACAGUUAAUACAAAACUCAAGGUCAUUCCCUUUAUUUUUACAUGCCACAUCAACAGGCCAAAUAAAAAUACAUGACAGAGUUGGAGAAAUGCUUUCUUGAACUACUGAUUUCAAA